UACGUAGGGUGCGAGCGUUGUCCGGAAUUAUUGGGCGUAAAGGGCUCGUAGGCGGUUUGUCGCGUCGGGAGUGAAAACCCAGGGCUUAACUCUGGGCUUGCUUUCGAUACGGGCAGACUAGAGGUAUGCAGGGGAGAACGGAAUUCCUGGUGUAGCGGUGAAAUGCGCAGAUAUCAGGAGGAACACCGGUGGCGAAGGCGGUUCUCUGGGCAUUACCUGACGCUGAGGAGCGAAAGCGUGGGGAGCAAACAGG
rnacentral:rRNA from 1 species